rnacentral:rRNA from 1 species
UACAUAGGGUGCAAGCGUUGUCCGGAAUUAUUGGGCGUAAAGAGCUCGUAGGUGGUUCGUUACGUCGGAUGUGAAAAUCUGGGGCUCAACCCCAGACCUGCAUCCGAUACGGUCGAGCUAGAGUUUGGUAGGGGAGACUGGAAUUCCUGGUGUAGCGGUGGAAUGCGCAGAUAUCAGGAGGAACACCAAUGGCGAAGGCAGGUCUCUGGGCCAAUACUGACACUGAGGAGCGAAAGCGUGGGGAGCGAACAAG